AGUUGAUCAGAACAUGGAUAUUUCACAGUGGCUUCUUCUGGCAAAGAAUUGCUCCCUUCAGAGAUGAACAAUAUGUAUGAACCAGGUCAUUCUCUGAAAUCUGGAGAGUAAGAAGUAGAUUCAGAGAAGUGCCAACAAAUGUGAUCGAAGACUGCUGAGACUCCACAUAUGCUGCUCUGGUCUAGUUUGCAGAAGUAUGCUUGAGUCCUGCUCACAGAGGAUUAUUAUUGCUCUUCUGCCACUUCUGAAACAAAAUCAAACUCUGCAGAAAGCAAGAGGUAAAUAGCAGUGAUGCAACAAAACUGUUUCCUGGAAAAGGAGAUAUUGUCUACAAGUGUUCACAGUGCCUUUCAGAGAGUAAAAGAAAAUUGAAACAAGCUCUAUUCUCAUAUAGUUGACAUUGAACAUCUUGUAGCAAAAAUAUUCUUUACAAAGCACCAGAAUUAUUUUCCAUUGGGUAGUCAACAAUAUGCACUGGUGAAUGAGGAUAGGGUUUUGAGCAGUACAGACUCAAUCUUGUAAAAUAGUAGAAGGGUUCAGAAAGGAAGGGAGCCUUGGUCUAAUUCAAAACUUAAUAUAUGUUUUCAGUGUGCAUCUCUGCUGCAGCAGUAAAAGCUAAAGGACUAACAAUAACUCUGGCCAGUUUUAUUUAUCCAGGGUUUUAGCCCAAAUAGAAAUUCCUAGAGGGAAAAAAAAGUAAGGGAGGUUAUGAUAGGAAGCACUGAGCUGUCUGGAGCUCUGAUCAGUCAGGCUUCUACAGCUUCAUUCUUAACCCUAGGCUGCUUUCUGCUGGUAAAAAUAGCUGCUACCGAAAUAUUGAUGGCUUUAAAGAAGCUGCAGUGCUUUUGCUUCCAGAGGAACUCCAUAUUGUUUCUGUGUACAGCAUUAAAAUAAGUAUCUGGUUCAGAAAAUAAUAUUUGAGUUGCAGUAGAGAUUUCCAGCUGCUGCUUAACUUUUCCAAAAGAAAUAAUCGAGGGCAAAAUGAAAAUACAAGAUCCUUCUAUAAACAGAGCCCUCUCUUCACUGUAGGCAAAAAUGAAUACACAGGAUCGCGAGCUGAGCUGAGAUAGAUCUCUGAGGAUCUGUUUAGAGGGAUAUUGGAAGGCUUUGGAGGGUUCAGUGACAAAAGGAGUCUGGAUUCUCAUCGGGAGUGCAGUAAAGCUAAGGACUCUUCAAAAGAAAGGAGAAGCUUGUGCACUGGCCCUGCAAAAAGGCACGAUGGGGAAAGACAGAAGCAAACUCUGCAGGGUCAGGUAGCCAAAGCAAGAUGCAGUGUGUGGGAGGGCUGGAAAGAGAAGAAAAUACACUGCCAGGCCCCAGUCUUAGUGGAUUAUUAAAUGUCAAAACCCUUGGCCAUCUGGUGAUGUCGUCAAAACCCAUUCUUCGGGCUGCUUUGAAAGGCCCUUGCACAACAUGCUAUGCUACAAAAGGGUGAGUUGAAGCUGCGUACCAUUUCUUUGAGGCAGAAGAGCUCUCAGUGGGGCAGGACUGUGCAGUCCUGCUGCCUGCAGGGGAAUGCAAAGAGGUUUGUGUAUAAUGAUCUCCCACCAGGACUAAGGGAUUUACCAUCAACCUGCACAGUGGGCUUUACUUGUGAUGUGCAUUCUGUCCCAUGGCCCCAGCUGCCAUUAUCAGUAGGACAUUCAGGUUCAGAUGUGUUUGUAGUUCUUACCCGUUAAACCAACGUGACUAAAGAGCAUUUACAAUGACAGCUGUCCAUCUCCUUUUUGGUGGUGCUCAUUCAUCUUUCACCACUACAAGCUGUGGCCUGGUGUGUUGUGACUAACAGCAGGCAGUGGGAGGCCUGCUUUUGUUCCCACGUCUCUCACUGACCUUGAGAAAUCUCUCCCUCUUCAGUUUACCAGAACAGUAUUUUUAAUCAUUUUUUUGUUGACCAUUUUGGCGAUUUUAAGCAGACUGCAUCUCAUAUUCUGGAACUUCUUAAUGGAGACUGCUUGUUCAAUUUUCCAAGGAACACAGGGGUAAAUCUGGAAAUGUCAUGAUUACUACACAAUCAUCUUGAGGUUUAACCCUACUGUCACAAGAGAAACUGCCUGAUGUCAAAGAGCUGAAGCAAAAAAUUAUCUGUGGGAAGUUCACUAAAGAAUCCUCUCUAGUCCCUGCAAAAUACCAUUAGAGCAGAGCCUCCCUGACUAAAACACUGGCUAGAAAGAGAAUUUGACAUCUAAAUUACCUAGGUGCUCAGUGUAGUUCAGGAGGGAGUCCAGCUUUUUCUGAGUUCUUAAUCUUUUUCUCAGGAACGUUUCAAAUUACUCACAUUGCCUAAUAUUUGGGUAUAGAGCCAUUUUUAGCACCAGACAUUUUCAUCCAAGAUUAAUGCAGUGGGAUUUCAGUGCUGCCAGAGCAAAGUCCCUCAGUACCAUCUAUAUUGUGCUUUUGGCAGAGGAGACUAAGAGCCAUUUGGCAACUAAAGGAUAGAAGUUUGAAAGGGGACUGAGGGAGUAUUUUAAGUUGACUCAUGUUGGGCGGGAGAUAUCAAAAGAAAUAAUGGGUCACAUCACAGGGUAUUUAGCAUGAUGAUGACAUGUUCUUAUUGCUACUGCUUUCAGUGGAUGGACUUCAGCUCCCAGACUGGAGACCAAGCAUGUAGUAACAUCUGUGGCCAUAUCGCACUGUGGGCAUCUACCCACAGUGUCCUCAGGGCCCCACCUUGGGCUUUUGCAGUGCUUUUGCAACCCGUAGCUUCAGCACAUACAUUUCUUGAGUUCUUUGAGAAGAACUGCCUCGCGCACCUGGGAACACACCGUUCAGUCAUGUCAUGCUCUCCUUUGCUGGUGAUACUUGUCUGUUCCUUUUCUGAGUUUCCAGGGCUGGUAGCCUGGCAGCUGGUGCAUGUGGAGAGCCAACUUGUCAGAGACAGAGAACAAAAACAGAUGUUUAAGACACCCAUUGAAGACCUGCUGAUGCCUUAUGCCAGGUCUUCAGGUCCAGCCAAAGGGCUGCAAAGCAGAUAUGGAGGAAGACGGGAGGUAAAGAACACCAAACUUUUUCAGUUGGCAAAAUCCCUGCAAUUUCUCAGUUUCACCUUGCAGGAAAGUGAGCUGUGCCCUCUAGUGGCAGAAAAGAGAAGAAAUAAAUCUAAAACCGUAAGAAAUAACCAGUCCUGACUGCAGCACCACGGCAGGAUCCGGACAUGCCUCCAGUCAGACUUGUGCUGCCAACGAAAUUCAACUGAUUUUCACGGAGUGUGGAAAAAUGUUUAAGGUGAUUACAGCCCAUGUUUCUCACUGACAAAUGUGGUGGAAAGCUGUUGCAGGUAGGAGUCUUCCAUCUGUUUAUACUGUGCUGUUCUUACAAUGGAACUGGUGAGUGCCAUGCAUGGGACGCGUGUCUUGGGCACUGAGGAGAAGUGCACAGAAAUGCAGUACCUAGUGUUCCAGGCUUCAGUGGCAUCCCUUCUGCCAUGUUUGUGCUUUGGGGCAUCAAAUCAGCAGAGCUGCACAAGACAGUCUUAUUCCCGUAUGUGUUCCCAAAUGUUGUGUGUGAGCUACGUCAGGGAGGCAACUGAAUGUCACUUGAGUAACUGAUUUUUCUCCUUUUGUUAACAGAGCAGCACAGCUCAGAUAGGAGCUGCUUGCUGUUGCAUCCACUCCUGCUGAUGUGACUUUGCAUCUUGAAUCCUGAAUAAAAUGGUAUUGUUUUACCAAGGCAUUUACACCUCCAAAAUGACCUCUAGCAUCUUACUGACCACACAGAGGUGCACUGGCCAGGAGUCAAAGAGUACAGAGAGGGUGAUAUGCAGAGUUAGGAAGGGAGUGAGAGAAGAAAGCAGUUCCCAAGAAUCAUGUCCCCAUUGCAGUGGUUAUAAUGGCCACUAAGAGGGUGACACCCAUCCAGCAUUGCUCAGUGCACUUCAUUUGUGGGUCUGUAGCAGCAAGCAAAACAUAUUUCCACACUGCUGCGGCUGCAAAGAUCUCUUGUCAAGUGGAGAUGUCUGUGGUUGGCUAUUAUAUAAUUCUGUGAUUAUUAGAAGAUUCCGUUGUGGAAUCACACUCAGGAGAGCUUAGGUAUGCUUAAAGCAUUAUUUGACAUAAUUAAAACAGCUUGUUUGAGAAGACUGUCUGGUCAGUCACGCCUAGAAUUAAUUGCCAGGGAAGUCUGGUGUGAUGAUCUGUUAGCUUAGAAAUGAAUUCCCUGGCUCCUUGCAGGCUCCUUGUGGGCUGCUCAAUCUACUAACCUCAGUGGGCCUGAGAAGAUUCAUUUCAAAUGAUAAUUUCAAAUGACAAAAGAAUAGAUUGAGUCUUAAUUUUAAAGGUGUCCUACAAACAGGAAAAGACCACACAAUUUUGUGGGGUUUAUUUUUUCACAAAAUAUAUUAAGAACAUAAAACUGUUGGGUUGCUGUUUUAAUAUUUUUUCUGCUUAAUUUUUUAUUUCAGGUGAGAAUGCCAAGCCUGAAAUUUAAUUAACUUUGUAGAGGUUUUGCUGAAGAGUCAGCUAUGAAAUGGGAAUUUUGUCAGAUCUGAAUUCAAAGUCUUGAAAAGAUCAAUCUGCUGGAGAAUGACAAGCACAGUGAAGGAAAAUUUCAUACUUGGGUGUCACUACACAAAUCAACUGAACUUGGAUUAUAAGAACAGAGCAAGAGAAAGGAGAUUUGGAGGGGGAGAAAGGAAAAUGAAAUCACUUUGGGCAGGUGCCAAGCAAUACAAUGACUUUCCUCUGAUUUCAGGAAGGAGCUCCUCUUGAACAACCUAUCUUGCAUGAGCCCAGCAUGAAGUAGGCCUCAGAUUUCCCACACCUCCCUGAGAGAGCGAUAAAGCACUGAAGCAAGAAUGGCUAUUCACCUGGAACAAGUGUCAGAAGAAAGAAGUAAGGAUUUUACUUUCCCUUUGAUCACCGAACUGUGCUUUUUGUCUGUGCCAGCUGCCAUCUAAUUGUUGGUCCAUCUCAACAGAACUGAAAUGAUUUUGCAAGGGCAGAAAGAUGGGCAGCAGAUCUGUGCAAUCUUUGUCUCACACCUGAUACCUAGGUAACCAACAUCAUAUUCAAGGUUUUUUCUUGUUUCCUAAGGUCUUUAAUUUGGACAUUUAAGACACUGAGAAAUGUAAGCUCUUUCUUGAGAUAUAAAGAAUUCCUUUGUGAGGACUUCCUUUACUGUAAGGCCUGCUGCACUUGUCUUUAUUUGAAAGGUUUGGUCCACAGGUAUCUACAGGCUGAUCUCCCAGAGAAUGUGCUACUUAAGCAGGAGGGCUCAGACAUCUCAGAUACUGAUUUGAGGAAGCAGAGUUUGUGAGCAAGAGGGUCUACAUACCCAGAAUGGAUGUCACGUAAGAGAGAAGAAUGAUGAAUACUCAUAUUUACUUUCUGCAAGUCAAGAUGCUUUAAUCAAUUGCAAGUUGAAUGCUCUGGACAGUGGGAGCUGAGCAAAGUUUUGUAGCCUUGUUACAGGUUACCCAGUCUUAACCAUGUGCCAGUCUCCAACCCUGAACAUACCUCAGCUAUAAACUAGGUCAGCUGGAGCAAAUAUCAGUCCUAUUGUUUGUGAAGUGCAACUGCUGCAUGUAUUCAGAAUCAGAGGACAGCUUGGGUGAAAAGAGACCAUUUGAGGUCUCGAAUUCAUUCCUUCAUUCCCAGCAGGCCUAAUUCUAAAGUUAGAUAAGAUUGCUCAUGUUUAAAUGUGUCCUAAAAUCUCAGUGCUGAAUCCCCUUGGCCCUGUUGUUGGGAUUUUUUGUGUGUCAAGUCUAGUUGGAAUUUCCUUUGCUGCAACCUGUGUCCAUUUCCUCUCAUUCUUUCAAUCUGGACCUUUAUGGAGAGUCUGGCUUUCUCAUAGUCUACUCUGUAGUCUAAGAUAGCUAUUUGGUCCCCUACAGCCUUCUUUUCUCCAGACCAAAUAAAUGCAGGUCCCUCGGCCUCUCUUUCUACAUAUUUCAGAUACCUGAUCUUCUUGGAGGACCCAGCUCGGUAUAUCGAUAUCUCUCAUGACCAGGGAAGAGCAGAACUGGAAACUGUUCCAGAUGCAGCCUCAUGAGCACUGAAGAGAAGGGAACGAUCACUUCUCCAGGUUUGCUCUCUUGCCUCUGCAGUCCAGUAUGCAUUUAGCCUAUGCUUCCACCAAGGCAUACUUCUGGAUAUUGUUCAACUAGUUUUCCACGAGGAGCCUCAGGCCCUUUUCUACAAAGUUGCCUUCUAGGCAGAAAGGAUCCAGCCUGCACUGGGAAUGGGGGCUUUGCAAGACCCUCACAUUGUCACUUUUGAGCUUCAUGCAGUUUAUACAGCCUGCUUCUCCAGCUUAUUAAGGCAGCACUUCCCUUCAGAUCAUCCACCACUUCUCGGAGUUUGAUAUCUGUGAACUCUUUCAGGUGUUCUCUGCCUCCUUUUCCACACUGUAGAUCAGUAUGUUAUAUGAUACUGGUCCUAGAACUGACCCUCUGAGAAACGUUACUCACAAUUGGCUUCCUGUUAGACUUUGAAACACUCAUCACUACUCUUUGAGCCCACUUGUCCAGCCUGCUUCUCCCACUUUAUAGUCCACCCAUCUAGUCCCUAAAUCCCUACGUUGGCCAAUUUUCCAGUAAUUCAACAAGUGUUUUGCUUGGGGGGAAAUAUAUAUGCACCUAGACACCAGCCAUCCUAGAGUUUCCUGUAUCACAUUUGUGUCCACAUCUUCUCUGCUGGCAACAGAUCAGCUGGAGUAAAGCUCUCUGGAAAGUGGUAGAGUGAGACACAGGGCCAGGACUUGAACACGGCAGUAAAACUGUCAGGGAGUUAUGGCACGUGGCCAGAACUGCAAGCUGUGCUAUGCCAAUCACAGAUGGGAAGUGAAAAUUUGUGACAUUUUGUACUUCAGCCCAAAAUCUGAACAGAUUUUCAUGAGACUACAUGAAAAAAAAAAGGUUGUAUUUCUCACCCUGGUUUAAGUAUUCUGCCAAAUUUCAUAGUCUUGCUGCAACAUUGCAAGUAUGGAAAGGAAAAAAGGAAAGUCACAAAAUGACGGGGGAGGAGUUUUUUAUUUUAUCUUAAGGAAUGUGUGGGGCUGCCAAGACUUAGGAGUGUGAACUCCUCUAUAAAUUCAGAGGAAUCAGAAUCCACAAUUUUUAACCCGGUUCUCCUGUUGUUUUUUUUUUCCUACCAGUUAGCCAAAGCAAUCAGGUAGCUGUAGCUCAAAAAGACUAGUAUUUGUGCUGAUAAAUUCAAACACAAGUUCUUGAGGGGUGUGACAUGGUCAGUCAAGGAUCCAAGAGAAAAUAACGAAGGAGAUGCCUCCUCUCUGUAAUCUAAAGCUCCUGUUACAGCUCUCUGAAUUUCUACCCCUUUCUGGAAUGGCUGGAAAAACAAGUCUGUGCUGUUAAAACUAUUCUUUUCCCAAGCCCUCUUUCAGAAAGCAAUGAUGCUAUUUCUGUAAGAACUUAAAAGGAAGUACAUGUCUGAGGCAAGGAGCAAGAAUGGAAAAUUUCAGUACAAACAGUGAGUGUUUUGCAGUUGGGAGCUGACAGGGUUUUGUAAUACACUGUAAGAGAGGGGUUGUCUUGUUGGCACCAACAGCCACAUUUCUAAGGAAUAAAAGUGUGCCUGUUGGAAUGUUUUUUCUUUGCAGGAAAUGCUCCAGAAGUCUGCUAUAGUGGAAAAGUAUCAGUUAUUUUUCAGACAGAGUCCAGUAUGUUCCACAAAAUGUCUGUCCCCACCUUCUCAGCCUUUACCUUGUCCCAGCCCUAGCCAAGCUCUUCAGCCACAAGUUUUUCUUCCUCCUGCUGUACUCGGCCUUCCCAGCUCCAGCCCACUUCCUUCUGCCUUUAUUUUAACCAGGAUCAGUCUUACAGGCAGUGUGGAAAAGGAAACAAAUGGCCUUAGCUUGAGUUUUCUUCACUCUAAAAGGCUUGGAGAUGAUGCGAAACUUUAGUGCAACCUUAUCAGUCCAUAAGGAAGGUAAGUUGAUGCUAAUUUUUGUCAUUAGGAAUGCUAGACUGCAACCACCAUGUUUCACAGCCUUUCCAGUCUCCCAUGAGGAAAUGACCCAAAGAAGUAAAUUUACCUGGAGAUAAUCCAUUGCUUUUCUCAAGGAUACAUAGUUGAUUGUCUUAAGGGGGCUUUGCUUUGUCACAUUUCAAUACACAAACACUGAAAUGAGGCCUUUCCACAACAGAGGAGUAUUUUUAUUUGAAAGGUAAUCAACAAUGACGUGACAAAAGUGAGCUUAUCUGUACGUCAUCGUUUCAGCUGAAGGCCACUGAGAUGGCCUGUGCACUUCCUGCACCCUGAGUGGGUGUGUCGGUACCACCUCUCAUCUCGAGGGCAGAAGCCAUCAGCACAAGUUUCUUCACAAGGUGGACACUCAUUUGAUUCAAAGCCGGACGUUGGAAGCCUGUCCUUUCUGUACUCCUAGGUUGCUAUUGCCAGUCGCCGAAGCAGCUUAGAGAAGGAAGGGCAUUUACCUUCAGUGCAGAAUAGAGUGGCAAGGACAGGAUGGGAAUUAAAGGAGUUAUAUUGGAGCAAGCCUUCUUACGCUGAAAUAGAGAGAAGGCAGUGGCUCUGGGUGGUAUGGAGUGACCAGGAGUAUGUAGGACAGAAAUGGUAGAAACUGGACUACGGGAGGAGUGGAGGGACAUAGUUAGAAUCAGCUGAGAUGGAGGGACCUUGGACUGCCUGAAGAACUUGAGAAGGGAGACUGGAAGCAGGAGAUGGACAUUUGGGGGAAUGCCAAAGAGAACAGGAGGGAGGGUGGGCCUCAGGGCUCAGGUAGGCCGGUGCUUUGGGGGCUGAGCGAAGAAAGCAAGCAGAGACACUCACUAGAGAGAAAAGGGGACUGGAAAGAGAAACCAGCCAUGGGAAACAAAAAGGACCAGGGCAAGGCAGGAAUAAAGGCAUCUGACUGGGAACACAAGACUGGGUCACGCUGUCACUAGAAGCUUCCACGGUCUGUUCCUACAGUGUCACUCCUCCUCUGUCCACAGGUAUCUGGGGACAUGCUUGGCACACAGGCAGCAUCCUCUCCUUGUGCUGUCCCAUUUUAAAGCUUGCCAUUUAAUCUUCUUUGGUAAAGGGUCCAGCCCCACUGUUGUUCUUGAUACAUGUCCAUCUGAUACCACAGCGUGGGAUUUUAUUGUUGCUGUUGUUUUAAUGGUUUUUACUUUGUUCAUAAAAACUGAGAAAGGACAGGUGAGAACGUUGCCAAGUUGAAAUGCUUUAAACCAUCAGGAUGUUGAUCUUCUCACUGAAUAGUACCUCAGAAGACAUCUGUGUAUGUUUUUUGUGCAAUCUGAUCACAGGCUGUUCCGAGACAUCCUGUACCUGCAGUGACUGACUGCAGUGUGCCCUCUGCUGUCUUGCUGUCUGCACAGCCCAGCAUCUCUGAGAUCAAGAGAAGCUGAGCCUCUGUCCAGAAGCAAAAGCAAUUCUGGCCCCCUGUAAGCUGCCUGAGCAAAGUGUUGGCAGAGGUGUCCUCCUAAGAGAGGCAGCUCCUAGUCCAGAGCUGCUGUGGAAGGUGUUCUGCAAACAGCUUUGCAAAGAUCUCUUGGAUAUUCACUCUGCAACUUGAAAGGAUAGCAAGACCCCAACUCCAUAUUUUUCUGCCUGGAGCAGUGAUUAAAAGACACUGAAAUGUAAAGAAACACCAGUUUUUGAAAAGAAAAACAUCCCAUGCAGGUGACCAUGUGUAACUUACACCAGUGAAAUGCUGUUCUAUUAUUACCCUCUUACAUGACUAGGUAUCACCUUCCCACUGAAGGGCAGAUAACAUUUUUAAAAUUAUUUUCUUUCCAUGGCUUUUAUCACCCAUCCAGUCUUAGCACUCUUUGAUGCAUCCCUCCAGAUCUGAAUUUUCCCAGUUUAUCUGCCUCAGUUCUGUCAUGUUUCUUCAAACAUCAAUGGUUCUUUGCUUUUUCCCUGUCCCCUUUUCUUUCUUCUUGGUUGCAAAAGCUGAUAUCUCUCCCUGAGCAUCCUGUAUCUCUACUUCAACAUGUGUGAGCUGACAACUAAUCCAUUGCUUCCUUAGCAGAGUGUCUCAUCUGUUCAGAACAGAUUUCACUCGGGCAGUGUAUCUUGGCAGCCACAGAAAAAUCACCAUGGCUUUAGGGAAAUUGCCUGAUCUUUGCUCUGACUGAACGAUGUAACUGAGUUGUUUUUGUUUACCAUUGCAGUAUAAUGUUUGCAAGAAAAGGAAGAAUAGAUACGAGCCCCAAAGGGGAGAGUAAAUCAACUGAGUGAAACAGUACACCAUUAGUCUUAGCUAAAAUUGCCAGGUUUUCCUUCUUUUACUGUAUCUGUGCUCAAAAAUAAAGAGAAGAGGCCUUUAAAUACCCUUUUGCUGAUCAGAACAGGAGAAUAGGAGCAGGAGGUGUCUCUGUGCAGUCAAAUGCAUAUUUAUUCACAAUAAUGAAAGAAAUGAAAGUGGAAAAAUUUGUAGGAAAGAAACAAUGUGUUAUUUAUGUAUUUUCAGUCAGCAUUAGAGUUGCAGAGAGUUUACAUUAAGUACUAAAUACAAAGUAUUAUGAUGACCAUAACUCCUAAUUUGGAGUCAUAGCCUAAAUUCAAGCUAAUUCUCAAUGUUCUGCAGACCGUAGUACCAGAGUCUCAGGGAUUGAUUCAGGCUAUCUAAACUCAAGAUCUAUCCUGCUUCAGGAAGUUUAUCAGAGUGGUUGACAGCUCUAUUUCAGUUCACUAGUGUCCAGCUUAAAAGAACAGUAUGUGCACCGGGGUCUGUACUGAGGUCAGAAAAUCAAUUCAAGAUGUCUCACCUUUGAUUAAAUUACUGCAUUUCUCUGUUAACUUUCAGAAAAGUAUCUCUGAAUACCCUGAAGGAGUGAGUGUGCAAACAUGGCAACACCGAGGAGGCUGUUGGGGCCCAUCCAGCCUAAUGAACCCCCCUGCAGCUGAGCUCAGUGGGAGGGGGAUCCAUGGAGCAGAGCCUGAUGCUGUGCCAUUUGGUGGUUUCUGUUUGGAAGGGACUUAUUUGGGUCUGUGCAGUAAGUAAGUAGGUGGUCCAGAAGAGGAUGAUGCUUUGAGGGGGAGGAGAAGAAUGCAAAGAAAAAGCCCCACUUUAUCCUUUCCUUCCUCCAACCCACUUCAGUAGCUUUCCACAGCAGGGGUAAUUUGGCCUCCCACAUACUGGGGUCUCACUGAUUGUGAGGAGGUCUCAGGGAUGCAACACAAGGACCCUCUGUACUGCAUGCUGCAGAGUUAAUAAUCAGUCACAGUUGCCUACCAGCAGUCUUUAACUAGUUCUGCGCAGUGCAAUUAUACCUCAUCAAAGCUAAUUUACCAAGCUGUUUAAAUGGCUGUAACAGCAUUUAGUGAGCCUCCUCUCACCACUAGCAUCUUUUUCAGCUGCUCCCCUGCUGAGGAUGCUUCGGUCUGGGUGGUCCCAGCAACACCCUGCAGCAUUUUUCAGUGUUGUCAGCAGUCUGGAAUAGGGUCUUUCUUCAAAGCUCUUGGCUUUGUUUCCCAGCCUAAGUUACAGAAGUCUUGUGGAAAAUGGUUUGGAGGACAAGAGGCAGUUCUGAUAAUGGGAAACGUCUGUGAAGGAUUGGAACAUUGGCUUGUAAUCCCUGGACAAAACUGCCUCAUUCAGAAAAGGGGGGAAAAAGCAUGCAGAACAAAGCUCUUGUUUCAUUUUGUGAAACGAACACGAUGUUUUCUCUGGAAUGUCUCGCUGACCAACAGGCCCAGCUCUUCCAGGGACCAUGGCUCAGACAAGGCUAUAAAUGGCUGAAAGGAAUGUAGAUUCACAGCUAAUGUUAAUCUGUCAUUUCCAGAGGCGACACAAACUCAGCCAUGCCUUUGACCGAUUUGGAUUUCAUGAGGAGUGGGGCAAUGUGAAGGGCCUCUUCAUACACCAGCCCCAGAGAUUCUCACCAGAUGUUGCGCACACCAUGUACAGCUUUGCGUGGGGACGGAGCUAACAAAACACGGCUCCAUCCAGUCUAGCCCGUGUCACUUACCUGUUGAGCCAAAUGAUGCUUCCUCCUCAUCUGGGACAUGCAGCCAGGAGAGGUACCAACAGGAACCAAAAGUGCUAAGCCAGGUGCAGGACUUUGUAUUUGUCCUUGUUACAUUUCUUAACUGACCGGGGUGACCUACCUGAUACUUCCUAAGGAGCUACUGUGGUCAUAUGAGCGUCACAGAUCACAGGCCCUUCCCCGCUGGAUGGCCAGUCUGUGCUGCCAGGUCCUGCCUUCCAGCCUCUGGGCUGGAAACUCCAAGCUAAAGAUAUUAAGAGGAUCACAGGUAUUUAUUUACAUGCAGACGACCACUGCCAGCCGUUCCAGGUGGGAUGGCCCAACCCGCGGCGCUGGCAGACUCCUGUUUUCUCUGCUAACAAACAGGGGGACACGGGCUCACAUAAUGACUUUAGACAUUCCCGUGUCCCUCCAUGAUAGCCUACAGCUCCGUUCCGCUCUACCCAAGGGCCGGAGCGCUCGCCCUGCUUUGGGACGAAGCCCAC